CAUCUCAAUUUAAUCCAUUUAAAAUUCAGGCUGUAACACAACGAAAUGUGGAAAAAGUCAAGGGUGUGAAUACUUUCUGAAGGCACUGUAAAUAGUGUGCCACAAAAUAUUCCAAGUUUGCAAAUGUUUGCCACUACUGGUGAAUCUGCGGCAAACCUUUAUUGCCACUAGAGGCAAACUGGUCAUCAUAAGCCGUUUCUGAUGAACACAUGAGUUCCAAGACAAGUAACCGUUGACGACCAAUCAGGGAGAUUGGAAAAAUAUUUUGGAAAAUGGAAACCAAACUAUAUAGCUUGCUACCUAUCAAAGUGUUCAGAUGGAUACCCCUACCCGUUGUGUUGGAAGAGGCUGCAUCAACUCCCUGGAAAGAUGUUUGUGGUGCAAUCCCUCAUAACGCUUUUAUUGAGUGAUAAGUGAGCGUGUCCUCUUCAAGCUUGAAGCAAUCAGUUACAAGACAACAUUUUUUGGGCCUUCAAUCAAUCUGAGGACAGAGAAUGAUGUGUUCAAAGUCAAAGCUUCUUGCACACAUGGCUUUGAAAUGAAAGCUAUCAUAAAUUCAUUUUUGAAUUGCCAUAUUAGGCAUAACACCAUUUUUGGUUGGUUUUCUUCCACGCAAGUCUUAUACACCUGAGUCAGGAACCAAAGACAACUGUAGACAACUGUCUCUUAAUGAU
rnacentral:lncRNA from 1 species